UGCCUUUUCCCGGUGCUCAGUCUGUGCGGGACUGUCUGCCGUGCACGGCCGGAUACUACUGCCCCCUCUGGGGUAACAGUAACCCUGACGCUGAGUGCACUGAAGGGUGGUACUGUCCUGGGGGCACUAUUUAUCCUCAGAGUCCAGAAAACCUGUGUCCUAUCGGUCAUCACUGCCCGACCGGGAGCUCCGAGCCCAUACCCUGCCCUAGGGGGCAAUUCCAGGAUAAGAUGGGACAAAGCCAGUGCCAGAUUUGCCCUGCAGGAACGUUCUGCGGCCCAGUGACACAGGCAGGAGAAACGCUGGAGAUGACUUCAGGAGAUGCCCACUUGCCCAUGGAAUGCCCAUCUGGCUAUUUCUGUCUAGAAGGGACACAGUACGGGCACCAACAUCCCUGCCCGAGUGGCACCUUCAGCAAUAAAACUGGACUGAUAAACAGUGAAGGAUGUGUGCUAUGCCCAGGAGGCUGGUUCUGUGCCCGGCCAGGGCUCGCCUCCCCAUCCGGAAAAUGCCUCCCUGGGUAUCACUGUGCCCUGAAUGCUCAGCUGCCCAACCCUGCAGGUGGUGAGACUGGAGCGCCAUGCCUCGCAGGGUAUUUUUGCACGGUUGGCAGCACUUAUCCCUUUCCUUGCCCUGCUGGCACCUUUCAGCCCCACCCGCGGAUGUCCUCCCAGGAGUCGUGUUUGGCUUGUCCUGCUGGGAAGUUCUGCAAAGGCCAGACGUUAUCACAUGU